UGGGGAAUAUUGCACAAUGGGGGGAAACCCUGAUGCAGCAACGCCGCGUGAAGGAAGAAGGCCCUCGGGUUGUAAACUUCUUUUACCAGGGACGAAGGACGUGACGGCACCUGACUAAGAAGCACCGGCUAAAUACGUGCCAGCAGCCGCGGUAAUACGUAUGGUGCAAGCGUUAUCCGGAUUUACUGGGUGUAAAGGGAGCGCAGACGGCAUGGCAAGCCAGAUGUGAAAGGUGGGGGCUCAACCCCCAAGCUGCAUUUGGAACUGUCAAGCUAGAGUAUCGGAGAGGUAAGUGGAAUUCCUAGUGUAGCGGUGAAAUGCGUAGAUAUUAGGAGGAACACCAGUGGCGAAGGCGGCUUACUGGACGAUAACUGACGUUGGGGCUCGAAAGCGU
rnacentral:rRNA from 1 species